rnacentral:lncRNA from 1 species
AAACUAGAAACAGAAUCUUAAUCAGUGGAACAUCUCCCCUUGUUCGCAAAUACGCUCUUUCUACCCAAAGUGGACUGAGAAAAAAUGGGGUAUCCCCACUGCGAACUCAAGACAACUGUAGGAUAUAUACCAUCCAUUUCCAUUCUCUUUACCAUUGCAGAGUAUGUAUCAGCAAGUUUCUUUGUCAAAAGAAAGGGGUAAACUCUGCGCCACUUGAUCCGCCUCGGGGAUAGAUGCAAACCAAGUAUUUUCGUUUUGAAUUUCAGCCAUUUUCUCCUUUCCUGUGUCUCUCUUUCUCCAUAUUUCUUGAGCCUUUUGUAGUUUCCUCCUCUCGGACCUCUGUUUCUGAUGAAGUCUUGAAAGCCCAUAUAGGGACAACUUCAGGUUUUACUUUUGGGAAUGAUUUGAGGAAUUGAACAGAGAAGGGGUUGUCUUUGUUUUGGGGAUUCUGAGAUGGGCGGAUAGAAAAAGCAAGCUGGGUUUGAGGGCUCUAUGUAUAGAGGUUGAGAGAAGAGUUCAGUGAAAUCAUAUGAACAAGGAAAAUGAUGUGUGUUGUAUGGGAG